rfam:Rattus norvegicus chromosome 10, whole genome shotgun sequence.
GGGGAUUUAGCUCAGCGGUAGAGCGCUUGCCUAGCGAGCGAGCGCAAGGCCCUGGGUUCGGUCCCCAGCUCCG